rnacentral:lncRNA from 1 species
CCCUCCCCUAGCGCUGGGGGAGAGCAGAGCUCAGCUCUCAGCAGCUCAGCUGUGGAGCCAGCUCCCUGGGGAAUGAAGGAGGUCAUGGUCUUGCCCCUUGGGCUUCCUGGAAUCCCGGGAUCAUGGGAGAGAGCUGGGCUGAUGGAUGAUGCCUUCGGGGUCUCCCCUUGGGUUGAGGAUCAUUGACGUGGCAGUGGUAGCUGGUUGCCUGGUUAGACUUGCCAACUGGUGGCUUGGCCUCUGCUUCUGAGAAGGUCUUCCUCAUUUUCUCAAGCUCAGCUCCCACUCCUGGGAAGCAUCUCGCCAGCUAGUAGCGAUGCAACAUUGAGCAGCCCAGACUGGACUCCUCCCUCCUGAAACUUACAUCCCACUGCGGGAGGCAGACAUCCAAGUGUCACGGUCUGCGACAGUACAGCAGAGGGCCCGGGGCGAAGAGCACCCCCAGGGAAGCCUCACUGAGGACAUUUGCAGUGGAGCCUGAAGGAGGUUCUCAGUUUCCCUGAGGAAGGAACUGAGGCAGCAGGAAAGGACCUAGGAGCCCCAGGUGCUCCCUCAGAGACCCCGCACCUACCCGGAAGCGGCCAUCCCACGUGGCCCCUGGUGGGUACCUGGCAGAGAGGCCCAGGCUGGUCCUGGACAGUCCAGCUGCCUCUGCCCCCCUCUCCCUGCCCAUCUGGGCUUGGCGCUGCUGCUCUGCUGUGUCCUUGCUUUAACCAGCUGCCUGCCUGGCACAGAGGACUUCUGCUGGACCCUCUGGGUCCUCGGGCUGGGGCCGGCGAGGGAGUUGAGUCUGUUUACUCCACGCUACCCCCGGCCCCACUCCCUCCCCGCUCCCCCCUCCCGCUUCUCCCCUCCCCUCCAUGGCACAAGGCAGAGCACUCAGUUAGAUUAAUUAAUCUGCUGCCCAGGCUGCUCCUCCGACCCAUCUUUUAUUCAUGGACAAGCAGCGUUCUCUGCUUUACCAGGACACGACCAUCAAUAUUUCAUCCUCGCCUCGCCUGCCAGCCUCCUGCUCCCCCCUUCCUGCCUCCCACCCGCUCUAAGACCCUGGGCGGGGGCAAGCGGGCCUAG